UGGAGACAGGCGUCUGUGUGCUGAAAUGGAUCCUUGUCCAUCAGAUCAGGUGACAUCCUCUCCUCCUCUGGCUCCUGUCACAUGAUCACUGCUGAUAUUUCUCUCUCUUUUUAUCUCCCUCGUUCUUCUCCCCUCAUGUUGUUCCACAGUAAUCUCUCUCCUCUAGUUUCUGUGAGAACCAAACACAUAAGAAGGUUCAUCCGCGGAGGCUUCAUGUGUCCGAGGCAUUCAGGCUGAGCUGAAGUAGCUGCAGCCGCUCAGAGGAACAUCCGGAAUAUUCUUCUCUAAGAGACUCAAGUGUGGAACAAUAAGAGGGAUCAGUCCUCAUCCUCAGGGGGGACGAAAAGAAAGAAAAAAUCCCACCAUCACAGAUUUCCCGGGCUCCAGAAACUUUGAUCAGAAAGGCUCUGAUUUGGUGUAACGAGCAGAGAAUAAACGUCAGGAGGAUCGUCUGCGUGUUGG